GACGAACGCUGGCGGCGUGCUUAACACAUGCAAGUCGAACGGAAAGGCCCUGCUUUUGUGGGGUGCUCGAGUGGCGAACGGGUGAGUAACACGUGAGUAACCUUCCCUUUACUUUGGGAUAACUUCAGGAAACUGGGGCUAGUACCGGCUAGGAGCUCCUGCUGCAUGGUGGGGGUUGGAAAGUUUCGGCGGUUGGGGAUGGACUCGGGGCUUAUCAGCUUGUUGGUGGGGUAGUGGCUUACCAAGGCUUCGACGGGUAGCCGGCCUGAGAGGGUGACCGGCGACAUUGGGACUGAGAUACGGCCCAGACUCCUACGGGAGGCAGAAGUGGGGAAUAUUGCACAAUGGGCGGAAGCCUGAGGCAGCAACGCCGCGUGCGGGAUGACGGCCUUCGGGUUGUAAACCGCUUUCGCCUGUGACGAAGCGUGAGUGACGGUAAUGGGUAAAGAAGCACCGGCUAACUACGUG
rnacentral:rRNA from 1 species